UGCAUGUUAUAUGUGAGAGAUGUGGGUGGGGGAGCCAUAAGCCUCCUGAACGUGUAUGUGUCUCUGGGUAGCAGGAACUAGCAACUCUGCCUGUUCUCAAAGCUGCUAAAGGUAUUAAUCACUUUGAUCUCUCCUGGGAGUCUGAGCAGAAACCAAUGGCUUCUUCAGCUGUGUUUUAUCCCAAUGCAUCCUGUAGCAGGAUUUUCAGAAGAAGCUGUUGCUUGGUCUGCAUUGAGCCGAGUGUGUAAGGAACAUGUGUGAAGAGGUCCCACAAACAUCGCAAUCACUUAGUUGCUCACAUCCUAUACUUAAUGGGCUGUGCUUUCCUCCUUCCUGAACCAAAUGUAGGUACCAACUGAAUCUGACCAAAGAGUUCCUGCACCUUGGCAGAGGGCUGCUAAUGGCUUCAUUACCACUUUAAUUACCCUUAACAGUUUCAGUGUUGUGCUGAUGAUUUGGGAAGAACAUGUCACCGAGCUGUGUGAACUGGCUAAUACACAGAGGGGAAGAUUUCUUCACUUCCACUAGAGACUCCCCGAGCAGCUGGGACCCAUCUGGGACGGUUCCUAAGAGAGGCAUUGCCGCAAGAUGAUGUUAUGUCUUUAAACUUGCAUUAUUGUGAAUCAUACCAUAAAGAAUGACUGUCACCCCCCCCCCCCUUGCUGUUUGCCCAAAUCCUAACA